UCGUCACACCAACCUGAAGAGGAAGACCGGUUGGAUUUCAGAGCACGAGGACCAGUCUGGAAUGACCAUGGGUGUUGGAGCCCAUGGUGGGGACUGCAGAGGUUGGCAGGGUCCAGAUGUAGCUACAGCAGCAUAAAGACCAAGUAUGUUUAAUGAAAAUACUUCUGAUUCAGGUGCUGGAGUAACUGAUUAAAAGAAGAAUUAAAAGACAACUAGUCCUCCACCCCCACGACUCCCUUAGCAAUCCUGCAGGCAGAUCAGACGGGCAGGAUAACACCUGGAGAGAGAGUUACACACGACGGAGAAGGACACGCAACCCAACCUCCUGCCUCCAUGAUUCACUGAGCUUCUUCCCGCUUUUUUCCCCUUUACAAACUGUCA